rnacentral:rRNA from 1 species
GCGUGGGGUGGCGCCGCUCGCCGGCGCCAGCGCCGCGCUCCUCCUUGUCUGCCUCGGCGUGCGGUUCGCUGCUCGGCCGCGCUCGCCGCGAGGUUACCUUGAACAAAUUAUGGUGUUCAAAGCAGGCGUGGGCUGUGAGUACAUUAGCAGGAAUAACGGCACAGGACUCCGGUGGUCCCGUUCUCGUUGGUCUCCGCACCGGAGUAAUGGUUAACAGGGACGGUCGGGGGCAUUCGUACUCCGGCGUUAGAGGUGAAAUUCUUGGAUCGCCGGAAGACGAACUUCUGCGCGUUUGGACGUUUUCAUUAAUCAAGAACGAAAGUUGGGGGCGAAGACGAUUAGAUACCGUCCUAGUCCCAACCGUAAACGAUGCCGACCCCGAAUUGGCGCGCGUAUCACUUGACGCCGCCAGAGGAGAAAUCAGAGUUUUUGGGCUCCGGGGGGAGUAUGGUCGCAAGUCAACUUAAAGGAAUUGACGGAAGGGCACCACCAGGUGUGGAGCGUGCGGCUUAAUUUGACUCAACGCGGGGAAUCUUACCAGG